CACCAAUUCCAAGCAUUCACACUAUCUCCUAUCCUUUGAUAGGUGUGUGUGUAUUGAAUAACGGAAUAGAGGCUAUAUUACAAAGUCUAUGAGAAAGAAAGACACGGCAUCACAAGACUAAAAGUCUAUGAGACACGGCAUCACAAGACUAAAAGUCUAUGAGAAAGUAAGACACGGCAUCGCAAGACUGGGACGCGUAGGUUUUGACAGCCAUUGAAAAUGGCGUUUUCACGAGGGGCAUGGAACCCACAGGACUGAUUGGACGCGGCAUUGCAAGCCAUGUCCAUGUUGAGUGCACCUUCCAAAAGCCUCGUCUUAUCCUUGACAUCACGAACGAGUGUAAGCCAAAUAAAUUUCAUUUGAGACUCCAAAUACCCCUUGUAAAUAAUUAACAAGGUUCAUAUCCUAAUAGGAGGAUCAUGGAAGAGAGGGUGAGAGAAGCCUGAACAUAUGUAGGAGAUGGAAGCUCAUAUAAGGGAGCCAAAGAGCUCUCGAUGCCUUCAUUUUACUUGUGAGAUUUGUAUAAAGGUGCACACUUUAUAUGUAUCUCUAAAUUUUUUGAGAAGAUAUAGUUAUGAUAUUCGAAAUCUGAUAAUAGUACGAAAAUCCAUGCUAAACCCAAAUUAUAUAACUUCAAGAUUUUUAAACUAGGGCUGAUCAAUCUAUAAACACAUAAAAAAAUUUAAAAAUAGAUGGUUCAGAUAACUUAUUAUAAAAUGUAUUAUUUUAAGAUUUGAAAUUCUAUUCCUUUUUAUUUUUAUAGAUUUUGAAGGCAAGAUGAUAAUUUAAAAAGUUUUCCAAAACUCUAUGACAAUAUUUUCUGUUAGAUUUUUGAGGUGUACCAUAUUUUAUAGUAUGAGGUUUCUCACGAAAUCUCCUUCAACUCACUCGCACGUCUACUCUGAGAGUGAGAAUUUAAAUACACGCAUCAAAGUAAACAAAUUCGUGAGUUUGUAGAGAGAGAAAGCCUGCACUGAGCUGCUGCCCAAGACACAGUGUCAAACCCCGAGCUCCUGUCAGAAAAGAUACUAGAACAUCUCAGUACGACUUGCCUCACCAUCUAGAGAGAGAGAGAGAGAGAGAGAGAGAGAGGGAGAUCAAAUCCAUGGAGGUUUUCCUGAACUUCUGUGAUGAAGACACGGGAAAGGGGUUCACAGCCCAUCUCCACAAAGCUCUCACUGAUUCCGGUAUCCCCACCUUCUUAGCACCAACACAACAACAACAACAUUUACCCCAUGAUAUACAGAGAGCCAUUGGAGAGUGUGAGGUGUUUAUUCCCGUCUUCUCCUCCAACUAUACUUCCUCUGUAUCCUGCCUUCACCAGCUUUCUUAUUUACUGAGUUUACCAACGAGGAAGCCUAUCUUUCCUGUGUUUUACGAUGUGGAGGCUUGGCAAGUUCGGUGGCAAAAGGAGCCUUUCCAGAGAGCUUUUGUGGAUCACAAAGAUAAGAAUGCCUUUGAUGAGGAGACAGUGCAGAGGUGGAGAAAUGCUUUCAAUGAAGUUGCUGAGAUUUGUGGUUGGGAAAUGAAGAAUUACAGGACUGAAGCAGAUUUGGUACGAGAAAUUGUUGAGCAUGUUUCUAAGAAGUUUGAGCUUCAAACACCAUUGCAUGUUGCUGAUCAUCCUAUUGUUGGGCUCGAUUCUCACAUUGUUGAUUUGAUGGGACUUUUAAACAUUGAUACUAAUGAUGCUCGGAUAAUUGGGAUCCAUGGAAUGGGUGGCAUCGGUAAGACAACUCUUGCCAGGGUGGUAUUUAAUACAAUAUGUUCUAGGUUCCAAGGCAACUGUUUCCUCUCCGAUGUUAGAGACUCUUCGAAAACAAAGGAUGGAGUUAUCAACUUACAGAAACAGCUUCUUAUGGAACUGUUUAAGGAAGCAGAUCCAAGAAUAUAUGACGUUUAUAGAGGUAUCAAUGUCAUUAAGAAAAAAAUUGGCUCUAAGAAAGUUCUAGUUAUAAUUGAUGACGUCGAUAACGUGAAUCAGCUAGAAAAUUUGGCUAUUGACCCUAAAUUGUAUCAUCAAGGAAGUAGGAUCAUGAUCACUACAAGGGAUGAGCAUGUGUUUAAUAAAAGAGUGGAUAAGUGUAAUAUCUACAAGCUCGAGGGAUUGGAUGACAAUGAAUCUCUUAAGCUCUUCAGUUGGUGCGCAUUUGGGAGGGAUGAACCCGUGCAAGAAUAUGCCCAUAUCUCUAAGGAUGUGUUAUCCACUGCUAGUGGGCUUCCACUGACUCUUAAAGUGUUAGGAAGUUACUUAUCAGAUAAGACACUUGAAGAGUGGAAAGAGGCAGUAAAAAAAUUGAGAACAAUAUCUGAAGAGGAAGUCAUGCCAAAGCUGAGAAUAAGUUUUGAUGGUUUGGACGGAGAAACCAAACAAAUAUUUCUUGACAUUGCAUGCUUAUUAAUUGGAUACGAUAGAGAUAGGGCAAUUGAAAUAUGGAAGGGUUGUGGUUUUCCUGCUUUAAAUUCUUUAAGGAAAUUAUUGCAACGGUCAUUGAUAAAGAUUAACAAGAUAAAGAUUAAUAAAACAUGGAAUAGUAGUUUGUGGAUGCACGACCAACUUCGUGAUAUGGGGAGACAUUUUGUUGAACAAGAAAACUUGGGUGAUCCAGGAAGGCGUAGUAGGUUAUGGUCUCAAGAAGACGUCAUUGAUGUGUUGAAGAAUGGCAAGGGAACUCCAGAGGUUCGAGGCCUAGCCCUCGAUUGGAACAAGCAGGGCCAUAGUUGGAAACCUGAUGCAUUUAAAUCAAUGACCAAUCUGAAGCUACUGCGCAUUAUUGGUGCAUCCGUGAAUGAGAGCCUCAAAUGUCUUUCAUCGGAAUUAGUGUGGCUAGAAUGGAAGGGACCUCCUUUAAAAUACCUCUCAGAUAGCUGUAGCUAUGAAAAGCUUGUUGAACUUGACAUCUCAAACAGCGAUGCUAUAUUUGGCUUGUCGAACAACAACAUGAAGCUGCUUUUCCCGAAGUUGAAGAUUCUUCGUCUCAUGCAUUGCAAGAAGUUAGAGAGAAUUCCUCACUGUUCUCUAUACCCAAAUUUAGUUCAUUUGCAACUUCCUGGUUGCUCCAACCUCAAGGAACUGCCAGAUUCGCUAGGCUCACUAGAAAACCUCAAGGAGUUGAAUCUCGAUUUUUGUUCAAACUUGGUGGAGAUUCCUAAAUCCAUAGGCCUUUUACAUAAUUUAGUUCAUUUGCAACUUACUCGUUGCUUCAACCUCAAGGAACUGCCAGAUUCGCUAGGCUCACUAGCAAACCUCAAGGAGUUGAAUCUUAAUUGUUGUUCAAACUUGGUGGAGAUUCCUAAAUCCAUAGGCCUUUUACAUAAUUUAGUUCAUUUGCAACUUACUCAUUGCUUCAACCUCAAGGAACUGCCAGAUUCGCUAGGCUCACUAGCAAACCUCAAGGAGUUGGAUCUGUCUGCGUGCGAGAGCCUCAGUAGACUCCCAACAUCAAUGGAAAGGAUGAGGUCACUACGCCAUCUAAGAAUGGAGAGAUGUGCUAUAGCCACAUUACCUGGUGAUUUUUGGCAUCUUUCUAACCUGGAAGAGUUGCGCAUGGGCGAUUACUUCUUCCGGGGGUUGAUUCUCGGUGACAUUGAAAAGUGGUCAUCAUUGAAAACGUUGGAUCUAGGCAUGAUCAAUUUACAGGGUCUACAUAACAGCAUGAGGGGCCUUUCUCAACUAGAAGACCUGUCUUUAGUACGGUGUUGCAAGCUGGCAUCUAUCCCUGAGCUCCCCACCAGUUUGAAAUACCUGAAUGUAUCUGGAUGCAAAAGUUUGCAAACAAUUCCCAACCUCUCUCACCUUUCUCAACUUAAAUACGUGAAUGUUUCAUACUGUAAGAAGCUAUUAGCUAUCGAUCUUCCCACCAGUCUGAAAACUUUGAACGCUUCCAACUGCAUAUCUUUGGAAAUUAUACCCAACCUCUCUCACCUUUCUGAACUAAUACGCUUGGAUGUUUCACAUUGUGAGAAGCUAUCAGCUAUGGAGGAUCUUCCCACCACUUUGAAAAUUUUGAAGGCUUCCAACUGGAUGUCUUUGGAAAGUAUACCGAACCUCUCUCACCUUUCUCAACUUCAAGAAUUGGAUGUUUCAGACUGUGAGAACCUAUUAGCUAUCGGCGAUCUUCCCACCACUUUGAAAACUUUGAGAGCUUCCAACUCCAUAUCUUUGAAAAGUAUACCUAACCUCUCUCACCUUUCUCAACUUAUAGAAUUUGAUUUAAGGAACUGUGAGAGGAUGACUAAGAUGCAGGUUAUCAGUGGAUUGAAAUCUUUGAGAAAACUGGACUUGAGCGGUUGCAGUCCUCUCGUUUGGAGAGGCCAAAAUCUGGCGAAGGAAAUAUUUACAAGCUUAGACUACUUGUGUGUUCCUGGGAGCAAGGUUCCAAAUUGGUUCGCAUUUAAAUGCACGCCAAGAUACACCUGGAAUUCAGAUGGGACAAUGCAUCAACAAGCAUCGUGCACACUGUCGAGGCCUUCACAUGCAUGCCUUCAUAACAGAAAAAUGAUGCUGUGCCUUGUUGUUUAUGUCCAUCACAUUACUUGCACUAGCAAUGUCUAUCGGGUUGACUUAUUGUUCUCAAGGGAAGGCGAAGUAUCAAAUAAAAUUUCAUUACCAUUUUAUCCAGGCACCUUCACAACCCACCAGAAAGAAAUUCGUUUUGACCGUUUUCCAUUGAAUGAUGCGGAUCAAAUUGAAGUCGUGAAUGACUCGAGACAUUGCAAGCAUCAAGAUGUAAACAUGGACGGCUUGUGUGCAUUGUCGAGAUUUCCCUGCAUCGAGUUGAAGAAAGUAGGGAUCCAUUUUAUAUGAUGAAGAUACUUAGGAUUCUACGGAAGAAAAACUGGCCGACUUCUUCAAUUCAUUGUAUGUUGAAUGACAAUUUGCAGCCUCGCUAUCUCUUAAGGUAGAGGAAAAGAUGAAGUUGCCACAUGUUCAGGAGAACGUGAGCUGUUGCUUUUCUGAUGCUUUUUGUUAUUUCCUUGUUUGAUUGAGGUAAUGUAGUUGAGAAAUUGAGGAGUAAUUACAGUGAAACCAAAUCUCGGUUUGAAAGGAUCAUCUUAUUCUGUUGGUCUAUUAGAUCAUAACAUCUUACCUUGUUGCAGAAUGAUAGCUCCACUGCCCUUUCAUGUUUCUUUCUUUUUUUUCUUUUUUUCAUUUUUUUUUUUUGGGACAAUAAGUGCCCUUUCAGGCUCAUUAUGCAUUUAUGUUCACAACUCUUCAACUUCAGAGACAAGUUUUGAAA